CAGAGGAGGAGGGGUGGGAAGUACAAGCUCCUGGGUGUAACAUAGGCUCAGUGAUGGAUAGCAUGGGGAAUAUAACCAGUAUUCUCCAAUAACUGUAAAUGGGAAAUUAUCUUUAAAAACUGUAUAAAUUUUUUAAAAAAUUAAACAAAACAUGGUCCAUCCACAUAGUGGACUCUUGUUCAUCCCAAAAGAGGAAGGAAAUUCUGACAUCUGCUGCAGCAUGGAUGAAUCUCGAAGGUACUAUGUUAAGCGAAAUAAGCCAGCCACAGUAGGACAGAUGCUGUAUUAUUCCACCAAUAUGAAUUCCUAAAGGAGUGAAAUUUAUAGAGACUGAAAGUGGAAGAGAGGUUACCAAGGGCUGGAGCGGGGGAAUGGGGAGUUAUCGUUUCAUGGCGACAAAGCUUUAGUUUUGCAAAAUGAAAAGAGUUCUGGAGAUGGGUUGCAGAAAGCACGAAUGUAAAUUUUAUGUUUUGUGUGUUUUACUCCAAGUGAAAAUUUUAAAAAAUGAAAUAAAAAAGUUGAUUUUUUAAGUUAAAAACUUAAAAAAGAUUUAAUUAAUAAAAUAAAAAUCAAAGGAAUCCUAGGACCUUUCAGGGAUGGCAAGAAUGUUAGGAGUGAUUUAACACUAGGUUUAGAGAAUUCUGCUUCCUCUGGUGGCUCAGAAGGUAAAGAAUCUGCCUGCAGUGCCAGAGACCUGGGUUCGAUCCCUGGGUCAGGAAGAUCCCCUGGAGAAGGAAAUGACAACCCACUCCAGUAUUCUUGCCUGAAGGACAAGAAUGGACAGAAGAGUCUGGUGGGCUACAGUCCUUGGGGUCGCAAAGAGUUGGACACGACUGAGUGACUAACUUUCACUUUCACUUUCGAGAAUUCUAGAUUCUGUCUUAGAGGUAGGGUGAUAUUCUCUAAAAUGUAGGAAGCCACAGGGAGACCUGCUCUGUGUUGGGAACUUCGAUACAAAGAUAAAAAAGAUGGGGUCCCUGCCCUUGCUGGAGGGCAGACACAUCGAUUGAAAUCACAAUACAAGCUUUGUCCCCUCAAAUUUAAAAAUAAUUAAAAAAUUUUUUUAAGUUCAAAACUGACUUAGAACAUAACUUUGGAAAGAAUUCAAAUGUAUUUCAGAAAAUUUGGAAAAUACAGAGAAGCAUAGAGAGGGAGUUAGGAGUAAUUUUUUUUUAAAAUUUAUUUUUGGCUGCAAGUGGGAGCCCGUGGGUGAGGGUGUGUGCCUGAGUCCUCCCUGCGCCCUGAGUGAUGUCCUGGUACCCUUCACUUGUUGAGCAAGCCUGCUUUCUGUGGUUCUGUUUGGCAUAAAGGAAACUCCCGUGUUCGUGAUUCCUUCGAGAACCUCAGCAGGGUCUGGGACACUGGCCAGGCUUGGGAGCUUGCCUUCUGGGCUCUUGGGAGUGACUAGCAGCUCUUUAAAACAGUCUAGGCCCUCCUGAUCCCUCCUACAUCUGUCAGGAGAGGGGUGGCUGGGGGUCAUUUGUCAGCCAGGCACUUGCCCUGCGUUCCCACUGAGACGAACCAGCAGAGAAGGAAUCAUUUGCCCUGGGAAGAUGCAGGUGGGACCUAGGGCAGGUGGCCCUGGGUCCAGCACUAGGGCCCAGCCCAACUCUCUGGGCUGGUGGUCAGCUGGGCUGGGAGGAGACUCUGCCCUUUAACGCAGGCUGCUGGCCUCCGUGGCCUCUCGGUCUUGGGAGCAGAGUCCCUCUGGACAUGUUUUCCAGUAAAUCUGCCUGCUGCUGCCUUCAGAGAAAACUGCUGAUUUGGGCACUUCCCUGUGAUCCAGUGGCUGGGAAUCUGCCUGCCAGUGCAGGGGACACGGGUUUGAUCCCUGGUCUGGGAGGAUCCCUCAUGCUGCAGGGUAGCUGGGCCCGUGUUCCACAACGACUGAGCUUGCCAGUUCUCUGGAGCCCACGAGCUGCAACUAGAGAAAGCCCGUGCGUAGCAAUGAACACCCAGUGCAGCUCUCUGCCGAAAUAAAUAAGUAAGUAAAAUUUUAAAAAUGAAAAUAUCAGCUGGGGAGAGGGGAGCAGCUGAGGUGCUUAGCCUGUGAUCUGGGUCAUGAUGGAUGGGCUAGUCUGGCGGCAGACAGCUAGCUGGGGACCAGCUCUCUCCACCAGGGACCCUGAGGCUGCAGUGUCCCUUCAGCCUAGAGAAUCUACCGCAGGGAGUCCCCUCUGGCUUGCAAAGCUCCCCCUGGAGCUAGCAGCCCCCCGGGAGGCCCACUGCAAGGAGGACGAUGAGACACAAGUGACUCCUGCCCCCUCUGAGGGGGUCCUGCGUCAUUGUCCUUGGAGCAGUGGUCCUUUCCCCGGGCAGCAAGGCCUGAUUGGGUCUCUCCCAGUCCUCCUCCUUCUCUGGGUAUGAGCACCACUUUCUCAGAGCACCCCCAGAAGAGGUAUCAGGGUUGUAGUGGGUGGGCAGGGGAUCUGAAGCAGCCUUUGCUAAUUGGGGCAGGACAUCAGGUUUGCUGGCAUCUCUUCUCACCUGGAUCCCCGCCCCCCUGCCAGGUGACUCUGAGGUCUCUCAGCUCCUGACUGCCUGGGAGACAGCCAGGACUCUCCUUUCAUGACCCCACUGGCCAGGGGCUCACAUCCUUUGUUCUGUAUUUGGCUGAGUUCCCCCAACCCCAGGAACCCAUUGCCUGGGGCACCCGCCUCUGAAAGUCACAGCAUCAUUCAGAGCUCAUUGGUCCCCACAAAGCUCGCCUACUGGUGCUUUUAGUUAAACUUGCUUUGUCAUUGUCCCCUCAUUGUUUUGGGUAUAAAUCUUUUCCCUUCUUCUCUUCUUGGAACUGCAGCUGGUCUGGUCCUCUGCCACCAGCCGUGGUCUCCAGGGGCACUCAGGACUCAGGCCUGAAAUUUUCCAAAAGGGUUUUUUCCUGAGUGCGUUGGCGUAAACAAUUUCCCCUUCUUGUUCCAGCGGCUGAGAUCUGACGGGCAGGGGAAGAGAAGGGGCACAGCUCCAGGGGUUAGGCCGUGGGACAGUGUCUAAGGUCUCUUUAUCCCUUCCAGUGGCACCCAGAAAGCAUCUGGGCACCUUGGUGGGCUGGGGGCUCUAAGGGGCACGAAGGUGGUGGAUUGGGUUGGGAGUGGUGGGUCCUGAAGGCCAGAGCUGGCGGUGGACUCUUCCGGACACUGUGGAUGGAUGACAUCUCUGUUUAUUGCAUCUUCUCCCUCGAGACUUUUGGAUGACCCUCUAUCUCCAGAACCGUCUAUUAUAUAACUAUUUGGAUGCUGUUUAUGCGCUGAUAAUGAAGAAGGAACUUUCCAGGACAGAUAAGGGACUACCUUUGACCUUGCUGAGCAGAUAGCGGGUGUCCAGCAUGUCACUGCCAGGCCUGCUUUUCCCAACUCAUCAUCCUUAUCUGGGGACAGGAACAGUGUCCCUUUCGUGCCAGCAAGAUGCCUUGGGCAGGUCCUUGGGAAUCCUCACCUGCCUGCCUGUCUCCACAGCGUUGUUGAUGGUAACAGACUUUGUGACUUGGAAGGCUGGGUGACCCCUGGAGGUGUGUGGAGUGAGCUGGGGCUGCGGACAGAUAAAAUCAAGAACUUGCAUUCCUGGCAGGGGGGCAGGAGCAGGGCUGAAGUGGAAGAGAGCAUAUGUUAGGGGGCCCUAUCUCCCACAGGGCUGCUCAGGCUGGGCCUCCUGGGGUCAGUGGAGUGCUGGUGAAGGAGCGGCUCUGUCUCAGGGAAUUAGUGCAGCCUGCCUGGCGGGGCUGGUUCACUGCGGGUUUGCCCCUGCUCCCUGUUAAGGGUGGAGGCCAAGCAGGAAGGGAGGUGAGGGGUGGAGGGACGUGGCUGAUGUACCACCUGCCCCCAAACCACCAAGGUGACCUUCUCAGCCCCUCUAGCUCCCCGGACUCCAGCAUCAGAUGAGCCUCGCAGAGUGCACAGGCUUCCUGUGGCUGCUGUAACAAAUGACCGUAAACUCGGUGGCUUAAAAUAACACGCAUUACUCCCUACAGUUCUGGAGGUCAGCGUCUCACUGGGCUGAAAUCAAGGACUUGGCAGGGCUGCCUUCCGUCUGGAGGCUUGAGUGAGGUGGCCGUGGUCCCGGGCCCAGGGUCCCCAGCUACACUGCAUCCUUCCAACCUCCGCUUCUGUUGUCACAUCUCCUCUGACCUCCCAACCUCUUAGAAACACCUUUGUGAUGGUGACUCGGGGCCACCCAGAUAACCUACCCUCCUAGGCUCCUUAGUCACAUGUGCAAAGUCCCUUUUGCCGCAGGUACCAUAGUCACAGGCUGCAGGAAUUGGGAUGUGAACAUUUUGGGGGUUAUUGUUCUGCCGACCACAGAGAGGGAGUAUAGGGACUACAGGACCUCUGGGGGAUCUCCUUCCCCAGCACAAUGUUGAUCUGGGUCUUAAAGUCCACAAAGGCUGUGGAGGGGAUGAAAGGCAUCCAGGAUCCUUGAUGGGGACCCAGUAGAGACUCCCCCUCAGGUGUCCAGCCCUGCAACAAGAGCCCCAUGGGCUUUUGGGUACAGGAACCAUAGAAGAGUAAUGAUAACAUCAUAGACUUUCUCUCCCCCAACUGAAUAUUCCCAGAGCAAGAGAGAAGGUGAGGCUCAGGGAUGUAAGUUGAGUCAUCUUCUGCAACUUCUAAAAUUUCUACAAUGUCAGGUGAGGUUUGUAGGAGACAGGUCAUGUCUUUCCUCAAUUUUUUUUUUUUUUUACAAUGAACGUUUUCAAAAUCCUUUAAAGAUAAACUAGCGCAAUAAAUUCUCAUGUGUGCAUUACCCCAAUUUGACAGUUAUCAAAAUGAUCACAUUUACUUCAUCUGCUGUGGUUUUCUUGUCCUUUGCUAUCCUCUGGCUGAAGUAUUUUCAAGCCUGUUAGCAGGCAUUCUGUAACUUUGCUCCUGCGAAUAUCAGGAUGCAACUCUCCAAAUCUGGGAGACUUGGUGACAGAAUCACAGCUCCAUUAGCACAAUGUCAUAAUUAAUGGUAAUUCCUUGGUAUCAGCGAAUGCCCUGUUUAUAAUCACAUUUCUCUGAUCGUCUCAAAGAGACCUUUUUGCAGUUGGUCUGUUUAAAUUGGGUUCCAGACAAGGUCCACAAGUUAAUUGUUGUGUCUUUUAAAAUUUCUCUUAGUCUAGAUCAAGACCCUCCUCCCCAUUUCCCUCCAGCCAUGACUUGCUACAGAAACAGGAUAUACUGUCUUGCUGAUUGUCACCCAUAUUCUGGAUCUGAUUGCUUCCUUUCAGUGGUUUAGUCGCUAAGUCGUGUCCAACUCCUGUGACCGCAGGGACUGUAGCUGGCCAGGCUCUUCUGACCAUGAGAUUCUCCAGGCAAGAAUACUGGACUGGGUUGCCAUUUC
ensembl:lncRNA